rnacentral:sRNA from 1 species
UGUAAUAGGGCUUUCAUGGGUGGUAGUUCACCCCUUUUUUGAAAGGGGGUGAUACGAUGACAGUAUUCGAAGCAUUGUUUCUGAUGAUCGCGUUCGCAACUUUAGUUGUAGCUAUACUGUCAGAACAAAAAAAGUAACCACCCGAUGAAUGCCUAGCCGCAUUUUGGUUGGUUACUUUUCCGAUUCAAACAUGUGAGCCGCGCGCCCUUGAGGGCUUUUACAAACCUUGACCGUUCCAUGUACCAGCAUGGGCG